rnacentral:rRNA from 1 species
UACAGAGGAUGCAAGCGUUAUCCGGAAUGAUUGGGCGUAAAGCGUCUGUAGGUGGCUUUUUAAGUCCGCCGUCAAAUCCCAGGGCUCAACUCUGGACAGGCGGUGGAAACUACCAAGCUGGAGUACGGUAGGGGCAGAGGGAAUUUCCGGUGGAGCGGUGAAAUGCGUAGAGAUUGGGAAGAACACCGGUGGCGAAGGCGGCUCACUGGACCGACAUUGACGCUGAGGCGCGAAAGCGUGGGGAUCAAACAGG